GAAUAUUUUGCUGGAGAUCCCUGCAUAUCUGAGGCCUUCUGAAGAUAAACAGCUUCUUUUCCUUACUUUUUGUGCCUGCUGUUAUUGCAUUUGAGUGAAUUCUCAUUUGCUGCAGCCUGGGAUCUUGCUGCUCUGCUGUUUUUGUUAUGCUUUCCAUGGUGUUAUUUAUGGUCAUGUUAGCUUUCUACUUGUGAUCAGACCUCACAGCUUCCGUGUUGACUUAUGCUAUGGUUAACACUGAAGUGAGCUAACUAGAGCAGUAGAUAAAGAGAUGAAUUGAUACAAACUCUCAGCACUUUCUUCUGUGGGUAGAAGAAAUCUAACUUUUUCAAACUGCCCAGAAAAGACCUUUAAGAGCAGUGCAGAAGGUGAAGGUGACACAGCUAAAGCUUCCCGUGGGUCAGAGAAGAUCAACAAGAUAAACUCCUGAGUUCCCUCUAGACCUCAGAUUUUAUGAAGAAAAAAUAUAGUGCAUAUGGCUUCCAAGAGUGACUGAUGUUUUGAUGACGACAUGGAUAACUGCUUUUAUUCUGAAGUGUGGACUUCUGCACAGUUAAAAGGGGGAAGAGAGAAUUCCUGAGUUGCUCCAAAAAUGUAAAGCUGGAUCAGCAGUAAAAGAUGUUGAAGCAGCAGCAUUUCCCUGAGAAGCAGCCAACUUAGAAGUGGAAUAUGGAUUAGUGUCAUCAGGAGCAGCAACAAGAGCUGCAUAGGCAGUCUGAUGGAGCACUUUCCUAGCACAUCAUACUGCAGCUGAACAGCUGAACCACUCAGAAUAUCACAGCUGAAAAAUUUUGUCCAGAAUCAUCAAGCAGAUUUGUACCCUCUACACUCUGAAUUUAUACAGGUUACUGAAUAAAGAUGAAUGAAUAUCU
rnacentral:lncRNA from 7 species